GGGUCGGGGUUUCGUACGUAGCAGAGCAG
rnacentral:piRNA from 7 species